rnacentral:rRNA from 1 species
AUUAUGGAGAGUUUGAUCCUGGCUCAGGACGAACGCUGGCGGCGUGCCUAAUACAUGCAAGUCGAGCGGACUUGUAGGAGCUUGCUCCUGCAAGUUAGCGGCGGACGGG